UAGGGAGACCUAUUUAACUCUAGACUGAAACAAUUCAGUAAUAAGUCAGAGUUAAGUCAUCCCAAGGUCGUUCGAGAUUUAUUGGAAAGCUUUCAAAUUAAGUCGGGUUCUGAAUUCAGCCAAAUAGUCAAGCUAAGAAAUUAGUAAACUAAAAAAGGGCUAUUAGCUCAGUUGGUUAGAGCGCACGGCUGAUAACCGUGAGGUCUCUGGUUCAAGUCCAGAAUGGCCCACUUGAGAAAUUUUUAGAAAUCCUGAAAGGAAUAUCUAAGAAAAACUCUGGGGAUAUAGCUCAGUUGGUAGAGCGCCUGCUUUGCACGCAGGAAGUCAGGAGUUCGAAUCUCCUUAUCUCCACCAAAAUACCAAAAGCAAGAGUUUAGCAACUCAUCUAGUCAAGCUCAAAGAGCAAAGAACUGGAGAGACUGCUAAAUUCUAGCGAAAGCGAGAAUUUAGAAAGAACCUUGAAAACUGCAUAGUAAUAGUAAUAAGAAGCAAGUAGAUCCAAAGUGGAAACACAGA
rnacentral:tRNA from 1 species